rnacentral:rRNA from 1 species
GCGAGUGAAGCGGGAAAAGCUCAAAUUUAAAAUCUGGUGGCCCUCGGCCAUCCGAGUUGUAAUCUAGAGAAGCGUUUUCCGCGCUGGACCGUGCACAAGUCUCCUGGAAUGGAGCGUCACAGAGGGUGAGAAUCCCGUCUUGGCACGGACACACCAGGGCUUCUGCGAUGCGCUCUCGAAGAGUCGAGUGUUUGGGAAUGCAGCUCAAAAUGGGUGGUGAACUCCAUCUAAAGCUAAAUAUUGGCGAGAGACCGAUAGCGAACAAGUACCGUGAGGGAAAGAUGAAAAGCACUUUGGAAAGAGAGUGAAACAGUACGUGAAAUUGUUGAAAGGGAAACGCUUGAAGUCAGUCGCGUCGACCGAGACUCAGCCUUGCCUCGGCUUGGUGUAUUUCUCGGCUGACGGGUCAGCAUCAAUUUUGCCCCUCGGAUAAUGGCAAGGGAAAGGUGACACCUUUACGGGUGUGUUAUAGUCUCCUGUCGCAUGCGAGGGUCGGGAUUGAGGAACUCAGCACGCGCCUCGGUGUCGGGGCCGCUUGGCUCACGCUACGUGCUUAGGAUGCUGGCGUAAUGGCUUUAAACGACCCGUCUUGAAACACGGACCAAGGAGUCUAACAUGCACGCGAGUGUUUGGGUGGAAAACCCAUGCGCGUAAUUAAAGUGAAAGUUGGGAUCUCUGUCGCGGAGAGCACCGACGCCCGGACCAGACCUUCUGUGACGGAUCUGCGGUAGAGCGUGUAUGUUGGGACCCGAAAGAUGGUGAACUAUGCCUGAAUAGGGUGAAGC